GAUGAACGCUGGCGGCGUGCCUAAUACAUGCAAGUCGAGCGAACGGACGAGAAUCUCGCUUCUCUGAUGUUAGCGGCGGACGGGUGAGUAACACGUGGAUAACCUACCUAUAAGACUGGGAUAACUUCGGGAAACCGGAGCUAAUACCGGAUAAUAUUUUGAACCGCAUGGUUCAAAAGUGAAAGACGGUCUUGCUGUCACUUCUAGAUAUAUCCGCGCUGCAUUAGCUAGUUGGUAACGUAACGGCUUACCAUGGCAACGAUGCAUAGCCGACCUGAGAGGGUGUUGGCCGACACUGGGACUGAGCCGCGGUACAGAGUCCUACGGGAGGCACAGGUAGGGACUCUUCCGCGAUGGGCGGAAGCCUGACGGAGCAGCGCCAGGUUAGUGAUGAGGCUCUUCGGAGCGUAUGACGCUGUUCUUGGGGAAGAACAUUUGUGUAAGUAACUGUGCUCUUCUUGACGGUACCUAGACAGGAAGCCACGGCUAACUACGUG
rnacentral:rRNA from 1 species